AACGAACGCUGGCGGCGUGGAUAAGACAUGCAAGUCGAACGCUGAUUUCAGGGUAGCAAUAUUCUGAAGUCGGAGUGGCGCAAGGGUGCGUAACACGUGGGCAAUCUACCGUGAAGUUGGGGAUAACUUGCUGAAAGGCAAGCUAAUACCGAAUGUGAAAAUUAUGAGGCAUCUCUAGAUUUUCAAAGUUGGGGACCGCAAGGCCUGACGCUUCACGAUGAGCCUGCGGCCUAUCAGCUAGUUGGUGAGGUAACGGCUCACCAAGGCUAAGACGGGUAGCUGGUCUGAGAGGACGACCAGCCUCACUGGAACUGAGACACGGUCCAGACACCUACGGGUGGCAGCAGUCGAGUAA
rnacentral:rRNA from 1 species